AGAGUUUGAUCCUGGCUCAGAGCGAACGCUGGCGGCAGGCUUAACACAUGCAAGUCGAGCGGGCACCUUCGGGUGUCAGCGGCAGACGGGUGAGUAACACGUGGGAACGUGCCCUUUGGUUCGGGACAACUCCGGGAAACUGGAGCUAAUACCGGAUAAGCCCUUCGGGGGAAAGAUUUAUCGCCAAAGGAUCGGCCCGCGUCUGAUUAGCUAGUUGGUGAGGUAAUGGCUCACCAAGGCGACGAUCAGUAGCUGGUCUGAGAGGAUGAUCAGCCACACUGGGACUGAGACACGGCCCAGACUCCUACGGGAGGCAGCAGUGGGGAAUAUUGGACAAUGGGCGCAAGCCUGAUCCAGCCAUGCCGCGUGAGUGAUGAAGGCCCUAGGGUUGUAAAGCUCUUUUGUCCGGGAAGAUAAUGACUGUACCGGAAGAAUAAGCCCCGGCUAACUUCGUGCCAGCAGCCGCGGUAAUACGAAGGGGGCUAGCGUUGCUCGGAAUCACUGGGCGUAAAGGGCGCGUAGGCGGCCAUUCAAGUCGGGGGUGAAAGCCCAGGGCUCAACUCUGGAAUUGCCUUCGAUACUGUUUGGCUAGAGACCGGAAGAGGUUAGUGGAACUGCGAGUGUAGAGGUGAAAUUCGUAGAUAUUCGCAAGAACACCAGUGGCGAAGGCGGCUAACUGGUCCGGUUCUGACGCUGAGGCGCGAAAGCGUGGGGAGCAAACAGGAUUAGAUACCCUAGUAGUCC
rnacentral:rRNA from 1 species